UCUGUCAGGGAACUCUAAUCAAGAAAGACAUUCUAAAGAAGCAAUUACAGUAGAUCCUUAUUCUCAGAGCCCAUAUUUGCAAAAUUGCUAAAAUUUAUUUGUAAGCUUAAAAUAAAUACCUGAGGCAUCUUCUCUGUCAUUUUCAGAUAUGUGCAGGUGGUAAAAUAUUUGAUUUACCUUAGGUGCAUGUUUCCAGGUGAGGUUGAACAAGGCCACAACCUCACUUCCUAUUUUGGUUCCUACAGUGUAAAUAAGUGUCCUUUUCACAGUCUAUUUAGUGGCACAUUUUUUUUUUUUUGCUUUUUAUUGAUAACUUCGUUGUUUAAAGUGACACUGAAGUAAAAUGCUGAAACACUGUCUAGUCUUCCUAAGUGCAGGAAAGUUGCUAUGUAUUAUGGAGAUAAUACAUGUGUUGGAUCCUCUGAGUUCAGAAUUAAUCAUCUGGGCCCCAUGUGCUGAGUAACCAGUUGGGAGGCCAAGGAGAUGCUCAUGGUAUGAGGCAGGAAGUAAGCUGUGGCUGUGGGAGUGACACUGUGAGAGAAGUGUGGUAGAGUGAUGUGCACAUG
rnacentral:lncRNA from 1 species